AUUGAACGCUGGCGGCAGGCCUAACACAUGCAAGUCGAACGAGUGGCGGACGGGUGAGUAAUGUCUGGGAAACUGCCUGAUGGAGGGGGAUAACUACUGGAAACGGUAGCUAAUACCGCAUACCAUCGGAUGUGCCCAGAUGGGAUUAGCUAGUAGGUGGGGGAAAGGCUCACCAAGGCGACGAUCCCUAGCUGGUCUGAGAGGAUGCCCAGCCAGACUGGAACGGAGACACAGUCGAGACGCCUACGGUGAGCAGCAGUGGGGAAUAUUGCACAAGGGGCGCAAGCCUGAUGCAGCCAUGCCGCGUGUAUGAAGAAGGCCUUCGGGUUGUAAAGUACUUUCAGCGUGGAGGCGUUACCCGCAGAAGAAGCACCGGCUAACUCCGUGCCAGCAGCCGCGGUAAUAC
rnacentral:rRNA from 1 species